GAGAAGAGCCAGCAGCCACCGAUAGAGCAAAGAGCUGCGACCCAACUAGCCAGCUCGUUGCUCAGUAGUACUAGUAUUAGUUUUCAUCCUGCAAUAAGAGCCACCAUAUCCAGAGCAUUGUAAGGCUCAAGAAGGUAGUUAGAAGCAUUGGCAUGUAUGUACGCAUACACUGGCACAAGGAUUCUUGAAGGCAGAAGAAGCUCUGAAAGCUAAUCGCGUGAAGACCUGUAUGGCCGAAGAGCAAUGACUGGUACACAGAGGCCAGCCAAUUAUCCACGGAGAGACAAUGCCCACGUGAACAAAGCAAAAUUUGAUAGAUUCCUGAAGAUUGAAGUUUGUCGGGGCACUAUCUCUCGCUCUUAUCCAUCGCCUAGAGGGACACGCAUGCAUCCCUACUACAUAUAAAAUAAGAGGUGCAUUCUCCUGGAAGCCAUCCAGAGAGCUGCUCUCUCGCCUAUAAAAGGAGACAUUUGCUGCGAAGAGAGACACAACACGAGACAGAGAAGAGCCACCAGCCACCGAUAGAGCAAAGAGCUGCGACCCAGCUAGCAAGCUCGUUGCUCAGUAGUAGUAGUAUUAGUUUUCAUCCCGCAAUAAGGGCCACCAUAUCCAGAGCAUUGUAAGGCUCAAGAAGGUAGUUAGAAGCUAAUUUUCUUUAGUUUGUGUAAUUCCUUCGGGGCCUCCCGAAAGGGAAAGCCAUAUGUAAAUUACGUCGUGGAAAUGAUGUAGUUUCUUGGUUUCA